rnacentral:rRNA from 1 species
UAGGGAAUAUUGCGCAAUGGGGGAAACCCUGACGCAGCAACGCCGCGUGAGUGAGGAAGGUCUUAGGAUCGUAAAACUCUGUUCUUAGGGAAAAACGGCUACCGAGGUAAUAUUUCGGUAGAUUGAUGGUACCUAAGGAGAAAGGACCGGCUAACUUCGUGCCAGCAGCCGCGGUAAUACGAAGGGUCCAAGCGUUGUUCGGAAUUAUUGGGCGUAAAGCGCGCGCAGGCGGAUUUUCAAGUCAGAUGUGAAAUCUCGGGGCUCAACCUCGAAACUGCGUCUGAAACUGUAGAUCUAGAAUAUCGGAGGGGGUAGGGGAAUUUCACGUGUAGGGGUAAAAUCCGUAGAGAUGUGAAGGAACACCGGUGGCGAAGGCGCCUACCUGGACGAUUAUUGACGCUGAGGCGCGAAAGCGUGGGGAGCAAACAGG